GAUGAACGCUGGCGGCGUGCCUAAUACAUGCAAGUCGAGCGAACAGACGAGGAGCUUGCUCCUCUGACGUUAGCGGCGGACGGGUGAGUAACACGUGGAUAACCUACCUAUAAGACUGGGAUAACUUCGGGAAACCGGAGCUAAUACCGGAUAAUAUAUUGAACCGCAUGGUUCAAUAGUGAAAGACGGUUUUGCUGUCACUUAUAGAUGGAUCCGCGCUGCAUUAGCUAGUUGGUAAGGUAACGGCUUACCAAGGCAACGAUGCGUAGCCGACCUGAGAGGGUGAUCGGCCACACUGGAACUGAGACACGGUCCAGACUCCUACGGGAGGCAGCAGUAGGGAAUCUUCCGCAAUGGGCGAAAGCCUGACGGAGCAACGCCGCGUGAAUGAUGAAGGUCUUCGGAUCGUAAAACUCUGUUAUUAGGGAAGAACAAAUGUGUAAGUAACUAUGCACGUCUUGACGGUACCUAAUCAGAAAGCCACGGCUAACUACGUG
rnacentral:rRNA from 1 species